GUGGUGGGAGCAGUGGCGCCGAGCGUGCCCACGGGCCGCCGCUUGGGUUUCUCUCGUGUUCAGGGUAGUAUGGACGUGGACAAUGGCAGUGGCCCCUGGCUGGCCCAAGAGCCGGGUCCAGAUACGCGCGCCUGAUUCCAGGCGUCAUAACCAACCCGGGGCCGCGAGGCUGGGAUCAGGCACCCCGGAGCCGCUUGCCCGUGGCCGGGCUGCUCUCCCCCUCUAAGCCUAAGCACCGCCAGUCGCGGCGCUGCGCUUUCCGCCGACCUCCCAGAGCGUCCCGCCGUCGCCGGCGGCCAGCCUCGCGCAGGACCAGUGUGGCGCCGCCCUGCUGUUGCUGGGGGGCGCCCGAGGCCUCCAUUCCUUGCCCAGGCUUCCGGCUCUCGGGGCGGCCUCCCUUCCGCCCACGCUCCAGGGCUUCCCCGGCUCCCGAGCUCCGAGCUUCCACCACAUCGGCCGGCUCAGGACAGGUGGUUGUCUACGAGGAUCAUUUAAGGCCAGAAGUUCGAGACCAGCCUGGGCAAUAGAACAAGACCUCAUCUCCACAAACAAUAAAAAAUUAGCCAGGUGUGGUGGCACACACCUGUAGUCCUAGCUACUUGGGAGGCUAGGGUGUGAGGAACACUUGAGCCCAGGAGUUCAUCAUUACAGUGAACUAUAAUCAUGCCACUGCACUUCAGUCUGAGAAAUAGAGUGAGAAUCAUCUGUUUAAUAAAAAAUAAAACAAGAAUAAAGCUAUAGCUUAAAAAGAAACACCAUUUUCAUCAUCGUUAUAAUGACUGAUUCUUAAAAAUCACUUAAGAUACAUUCAAAGGAUAAAUAAAUGCAUGAAUGUCUAAAAAAAUUUUUAAGAUACUACAUCAGAAUAGAGGAAAAGGGGGAAACAGAGAAAAUAAAUAGCAGAGAAAAAGGCCUAAGGAGAGGAUGGCAGGGAUUGGAUUUGGGGUAAAUAGAAGAAGAUACUCAGAAAAAUAAGAGACUGGGAUAUAUGCAUGAGAGUUACCCCUGGGGACUAUAUAAUGCACAUUUAAUGCAGACCAACAGCCUUCAGGUCGAAGACCUAGGGAAAAAAGUGGUGAAAACAAGAUAACACUACAAAAAUUUGCUGGGCAUUACUCCUCCAGGCCUCCCUGCCUGGUAUUCACUGACUGACCUGAAAGUCUCAGGUUUGGGGUUUCUUCUACUAUCCAUGGCUCUGCUCCUUGCUCUAGCUUGAAGAUCAUCUCAGGUUUGGUAAUGUAAUGCCCUGGUAAUGAGAAACAAUGGAAGACUUUGUCAAACCACUAAGUCAAAUCCUUUUCAGAAUGACGACAGCUGGGCUUCAGGGACUGUGCAAUGAAGGAGCCAAUUUGAACAUUUCAUUAGAGUAGUGACACAUUUUUCAUCAACUGGAAGCUUACAAGUAAAUAUUAUUAUACCUUAAAAGGGUUCCUAUAUUUACCAGCAACAAAAUACAAUCCUGGGAGUUACUGGCAAGUUUCACUCACCCAAUGAUACCAGGCUGCUGUAGGUCUCCAGCAUCACGUCCCUGUACAGGGUCCUCUGAGCAUCAUCCAGGUCCUGCCACUCCUCCCAGGUGAAGUGCACAGCUACCUCCUCAAAGGACACCAACUCCUGUAAUGAUACCAGGCUGUUGUAGGUCUCCAGCAUCACGUUCCUGUACAGGGUCCUCUAAGCAUCAUCCACGUCCUGCCACUCCUCCCAGGUGAAGUGCACAGCCACAUCUUCAAAGGACACCAACCCCUGUAAUGGCACAUUUUUCCUCAAGUCAAAGCAUCAGCCCAAAGAUUCUUGUCAAAAGAACAAGAAUCUGGGAAUUCACUCUUUGGUGUGUCCAUGUGUCUUAUGUAUUUUACAUAAGAUGUAGUUUGUUUUGCACUGUUUAUGGUGGGAGAAGGAGUAAUCACAGUAGAAAUAUGCUUCCAC
rnacentral:lncRNA from 1 species